UAAGUAAGAUGAAUAAUCGCGGCUGCUUAUGCCUUCGGGCUGCGGCAGGUGAGGAAAGUCCGGGCUUCGCAGGGCAGGAUGCCGGAUAACGUCCGGUGGAGGUGACUCCAAGGCCAGUGCAAUAGAAAUAUACCGCCCCGCCAUCGGCGGAAAGGGCUUCCCUUAGGGGAAUGCCUGGUAAGGGUGGAAAGGCAGUGUAAGAGACUACCGCCCGUCUGGUAACAGACGGGGCAUAUGUAAACCCCAUCCGAAGCAAGACCAAACAGAGAGCGACAGGCUUGCCCGGCCUGCUUUCAGGUAGGUCGCUUGAGGCUGCCGGCGACGGCAGUCCUAGAUAGAUGAUUAUUCUCGACAUAACCCGGCUUACAGUUUUGCUUAUUUC
rfam:Lachnospiraceae bacterium 3_1_57FAA_CT1 genomic scaffold acsNT-supercont1.1, whole genome shotgun sequence.